UUGAAAUCAUUUUAUUGCAAACUCAAAGUUUAUCGAUAAAGCCAUUUAAUCAUAAAAGGCUGUUUAGUUUUAUAAAGAACACUUUAAAACGUUUUGCGAAGCGUUUGUGGUUGAAUUUUAUCUUAAAUUGAAGCCUAUAUUACGUAUAAUAACAUACCUAACAUAUAUAUGUUGGGAAAUUGAUAACUUUGUAAUUAAAAGUGAUAUUUUUAGGAGAUUUGUAAGAAUAUUCUUAAAAAAAUUAUCGUGUUACCAUGGCAACUGUUCUAGAUACUUCAUGUUCGGAAAAUACAAUGGUUUUGUCAGCAAGGCGAGGGAUUCUGCAUGCAUGUAUUUUCUAGUAUAGUAUCAAACGAUCGUAUCACCAGGCGCGCUACAACUAACAGUGUAACAUUAAAACUUUCCAGAGUUAACACUUUAACUUUUCAGAACAGUUUUUAUAAUAGAGCUCCCAGAAUAUAUAACUCCCUACCACCACAUAUUCGAGAAGCAAGCGUUACUGUCGGCCAAUUCAAAUCUUACCUGUUAACUUAUUAUGAAGCAAUGACUAAAGAAAUGUAUAACAUUAAUGCUCCACAAACAUUUAAAAGUAUAUGUGUCAAGUGUCACUCGUGUCGUCCGUUGUCCAGUCUUGUGGAUAAAAUGUGUUGUAAAUAAUGUAAUAUUGUUUUUUUGUUUGUUUUUUAUAUAUACAUAUAUACAUAUUAUUAGGGACCCUGUAAACGGAGCAUUAAGCUCUGUAGGGUUAACCUGUCAUUUAUGACUAAGUUUGUAAAAAAAAAAAAAAAAAAAUAUUAAUUUUGCUGUAUAGAUAAAAGAUAAAAGACAGAUCUCAGUAUACGUCGCAGCUAGUCAAUGUCAAUGCAACUAAGAUCUUUUAUACGAUGAAUUGAAUGGUUUACAUGAAAGGAAAAAAAUGCUGCUAAAUGGGAAAUGCGGAAAACUUUUAACAGAAUAUAAUAACAAGUUCAUGGAUUUAUUAAUUCGAUGCGACGUUAAGGCAACACACAUUUUCGACAUUGGCAUUGUACCUGUCCGGUCAUGAGGGAUACAACGUCCUAGACGAAUUAAUUUCUUCUGACCGUUUUAGACCUCAAAGAUCCGUCGCAUUUCAUCGAUCGAAUUAAACUUUUCUGAGUUAAAUACAAUGAUUGUGCAAUAUAUUGGUCGCUAUAAAAAUUCCGCGAGCAACCUUGAACGUGUUUCCGGUUAUCACAAAGGUAAACAAUAGAGCUAUUUACAGCCAUAAUUUAUGAAUUUUGCACUCCUUCAUAUUCCUUUUGCCGACAAGUUUUAUUGCGAAUAACAUAACUUUAAGAAAUCUACUUUAACCCUAAAAGUGUUUUAGACACCAGGUAGGUUGCACUUUUGAGAAUUUUUAGUUUGAAUUUUGUACAUAAUCAUUAGUUGUUCGGCGAACGAAAAUACCGACUUCCUUGGAUGGAGACUAGUAGGCUUAAAAUAAGAUGUACAUUCAAAUUCUUUCAACAUUUUAGAAGAAGAAGAAUAUGUCUCAAUACGCUGAAAAAUGUUUUUAAUUUGACGCAAAACUUUCCGAGUUAUGAUGCACAAUUUAACACACAUUUGACCGCCGUUUUCGGGGUCAAAUUUCAGUGUCGCUGACGUCCAGACAAAAAUUCGUCAUAACUAAAAAAAAAAAGAAAAAUUUAGAAAUUCUAAUGUUAGUUUAAUACCUUUUAGGACAAAGGUAGUUCAUGGUAAAAAUAUAAAGGAAAUCUAAUUUUCAACCUGAAACGCUCUGCAUGGUUCUUAGUGAGACAGCCACUUAAGGUGGCUCCCUACAUUUCUCUAAAAUUCUAGGUAUUUUGAGUAUCGUUCGCUUUGAACCGAAUUUAUGUUAGAUACAAUAUGAUCAUUUCCAGGAAAGUUCAGAAGCUGUGUGCUGUCCAUUUAUGAACAAAUUAAAACAGUGUUUGCGUUGCCAUGGCAACCAUGACGUUUAAUCUUUUGCACUUUUAUUGUCUAAUUUCACAAUAAAUUGACAAUAUCUAUAUUUUCCUUCGGUGAAUUUUUCUGAAAUUUUUUUUGAAGAUUUAUGGUCCAUAAAGGAAAAACAUAUCAAAAUUUGAAGGUUUUUACAAAUAAGUUUUCGAGAUAUUCGUGAAUGACGGUUACAGAAAAAGUUAUUUGUAGAAUUUCUUAGAAUUUGGAUAUGUUGUAUCACUCGUCUUGUAUAACAAAAAUACAAAGUUUAAAAAAAUUUCACCGAAGAAAACACGAGAAAAUCAUCGCUAAAAUCGGCGUGGCCAGCAUGAAAAUAAAUCGACUCGACAUGAGCACGAUCUGCGCAUGCGUGUAAAUUGUAGCGUGUGAUUUAUAGUGAUUUCAACUUUUUGGCUUACAAUACAUAAGAAAACAGAUAUUUCUGACUUGUUUGACAUGAAAAUAAAAUAUUAAUCUUGAAAAUACUAAUAAAAAACACUAUUAUAGGCAUUGUAUUAAAUUCAGUGUUAGUUUACAUUUGUUUUUGUUGUUAAAAUCGGUGUGAAAACUUUCCAAAACAUCGAACUACAAGUUCAACUUUCCAUAUAAAACAACUCAUAACUGUUUUAUUUGAUUUAGCAGAUAAAACGAUACCUGUAAAUUGAACUGAUUGACAGAACUUAUAUAAGUUUCGGGAACAGUUCACUACUGUUCAAGAGUUAAUAGAAGACAGUAUCAUUUCAGUUUGACAGCUCGCAAAACAACAAGUUGAAAAUUUUGAGCAAUAUGAAAGACAAUACUGAACGUAAAUACGUAAAAACACACUAAAAGAUAGGUUAAACUAGUUAAUAACAUACGUACUGUUCGAAUUCAGAAAAAAAUAGGAUUAUAAUGAAAACUGGGGCUUUCUUUGUAGAUAAAAACGCCAAAAAACUUCCCACGGCUUCUUUCAAUAUUUUUGCCGAACAGUAAACACGAUUCCACGCGCAGGUCGCGAGGAUGAAGUCUGAUCUAUAUAAAUCGUAUUUAAACUGUACUAACUGUAGGGAGCCACCUUAAUAGCUUAGGGGGGUGAGGUUAAAAGGGGGUGGGGGGGGGAAGGGUGGUUACCAGGAUGUUUCCAGAUGUACAAACAUUU